CGGUUGAUUGGCAGGCAGGGAGGCGGGGCCAUCUCUUGCCUGGGCUGAAACAGAUGAAACCGGGCGAGGUCUCUGAAAAAACUGGGUUUGGCUAAUGAUGACAAUAUGACCCGAUGCUGGUCAGUGAGCUGCCAGAGACGUCUGCUGGGAUACAGUUGGGAAAGACGUCUUCCUGUUGGAGAGAUUUGUCUGAGGUCAUUUUUCCCCUCUUCUGGGGUUAUGUUCUGUGAGGUGAAGACAUGAUAUUUGGAAUUGUUGUAGCAAUCUUAAUACCAUGAGACAACCAACCAGAGGAUGACAAUCCAGUGUGUUGAGGCUCUCAGAGCAAAAGGAUGGAAGGAGCCUGGGACCUCGAAGACAUCGCCGAGCUGCUGGACCAAUUCUUGAACAGUGUGUCUUCAGACUUACGACUUGAAAGGGUUAUGUGUAUGUCUUUAUUGUUUAAACCACUCUAAGUUGAGCAUUCUGUUAACUGCAGUCAUAAAUAUACAGAUGUACUC
ensembl:lncRNA